rnacentral:rRNA from 1 species
ACCUUCCGUCUGAAUUAUAUCAAUAACAUUUGUUAAAACUUUCAACAACGGAUCUCUUGGUUCUCGCAUCNAUAAAAAACGCACCGAAAUGCGAUAAGUANUGUGAAUUGCANAAUCAGUGAAUCAUCNAAUCUUNAACNCACAUUGCCCCUCAUGGUAUCCCAUGGGGCAUCCN